AACGAACGCUGGCGGCAGGCCUAACACAUGCAAGUCGAACGAGAAGCCACCUUCGGGUGGUGGACAGUGGCAGACGGGUGAGUAACGCGUGGGAACGUGCCUUUCGGUUCGGAAUAACCCAGGGAAACUUGGGCUAAUACCGAAUACGCCCUUCGGGGGAAAGCUUCAUUGCCGAAAGAUCGGCCCGCGUCGGAUUAGCUAGUUGGUGGGGUAAUGGCUCACCAAGGCGACGAUCCGUAGCUGGUCUGAGAGGAUGACCAGCCACACUGGGACUGAGACACGGCCCAGACUCCUACGGGAGGCAGCAGUGGGGAAUAUUGGACAAUGGGCGAAAGCCUGAUCCAGCCAUGCCGCGUGGGUGAAAAAGGCCUUAGGGUUGUAAACCCCUUUCAGCGGGGAAGAUAAUGACGGUACCCGCAGAAGAAGUCCCGGCUAACUCCGUGCCAGCCGCCGCCGUAAGAC
rnacentral:rRNA from 1 species